rnacentral:rRNA from 1 species
AUUGAACGCUGGCGGCGUGCCUAACACAUGCAAGUCGAGCGAUUCUCUUCGGAGAAGAGCGGCGGACGGGUGAGUAACGCGUGGGUAACCUGCCCUGUACACACGGAUAACAUACCGAAAGGUAUGCUAAUACGAGAUAAUAUGCUUUUAUCGCAUGGUAGAAGUAUCAAAGCUUUUGCGGUACAGGAUGGACCCGCGUCUGAUUAGCUAGUUGGUAAGGUAACGGCUUACCAAGGCGACGAUCAGUAGCCGACCUGAGAGGGUGAUCGGCCACAUUGGAACUGAGACACGGUCCAAACUCCUACGGGAGGCAGCAGUGGGGAAUAUUGCACAAUGGGCGAAAGCCUGAUGCAGCAACGCCGCGUGAGCGAUGAAGGCCUUCGGGUCGUAAAGCUCUGUCCUCAAGGAAGAUAAUGACGGUACUUGAGGAGGAAGCCCCGGCUAACUACGUGCCAGCAGCCGCGGUAA